rnacentral:rRNA from 1 species
UACGAAGGGUGCAAGCGUUAAUCGGAAUCACUGGGCGUAAAGGGUGCGUAGGCGGGUCUUUUAAGUCAGGGGUGAAAUCCUGGAGCUCAACUCCAGAACUGCCUUUGAUACUGAAGAUCUUGAGUUCGGGAGAGGUGAGUGGAACUGCGAGUGUAGAGGUGAAAUUCGUAGAUAUUCGCAAGAACACCAGUGGCGAAGGCGGCUCACUGGCCCGAUACUGACGCUGAGGCACGAAAGCGUGGGGAGCAAACAGG